GUGCACCAGGCGCGAAACCUCCGCAAUACACGAAAGUGUGACGGGGCCAUCCCGAGUGCCGUCCGCUGAGGACGGCUUUUCCCCAGUGUACACAGCUGGGGGAAUAAGGAGAGGGCAAGCCUGGUGUCAGCCGCCGCGGUAAUACCAGCUCUCCGAGUGGUGGGGACGCUUAUUGGGCCUAAAGCAUCCGUGGCCGGCUGGGCAAGUCCUCCGUUAAAUCCAACGAUUCAAUCGUUGGGCUGCGGGGGAUACUGUCCAGCUUGGGGGCGGGAGAGGCCGACGGUAUUCCCGGGGUAGGGGUGAAAUCCUAUAAUCCCGGGAGGACCACCAGUGGCGAAGGCUGUCGGCUAGAACGCGCCCGACGGUGAGGGAUGAAAGCUGGGGGAGCGAACCGGAUUAGAUACCCCGUAGU
rnacentral:rRNA from 1 species